UGAGCCAGAAAGGACAGAGACGAGUGAAGACCCAAAGAUCUUCAACCAAGCUGGGCAAGUGUUCGACCAUUGAGCCACACCCCCGGCCCUGCCUUCCGUUUGGCUGCAACAAUAAACCAGUUGUGUCCAGGAGACCCAACUCUGGUCAAGUUGCUCUACCCACUGAGCCAUCUGGCUGCCUGUCAAGAAGACAAACUUCUGUUGUGCAGUGUUCAGGCACCCGUGAAGAUAGGAACUUGGGGGAUGAGUGAGGAGAGGGACCCUCAUCUGGCGCACAGAGUCCCUGGGACUGGCUUAGUAUGACCAGCAGCCUCAGCCACAGGGGCGUUCUCUCUCUCUCUCUCUNNNNCUGCCUGUCCAGAAAUAGUUUCCGGGAACCGAGGUGCUUCCCCGCCAGCCAGCGGGGAGAUAAAGCUACCCGUGUGUGUCGCUUGUCUUGGCUGCCUCUCAGUUGACACCUCUGACAGGCCGCUUUGAUCUCGGGUUAUCAAGGCCUAACCCCAAGCCUGGCCUGCUCUGCCAGCCCUCACUCACUGGGGAAAAGGGCAUUUCAGAAGGUCAGUUCGGGGAGGGGCAGGCUUCUCCCCGUGCUCAGCUGGCCUUGAAGCAUGGGUGCUGGAUGCAGGAAUUGUACCGUUUUACUCUGCAGCGGUGAUGGAUAGGGGACUGGGGGGGGGGGAAUGGGGGCGGGAUUCUGGCUGGGAAAUGAAGAAUUCAAAUUGUGCCUAUAGCAUAGGGGGUGUUACUUCAUGUCCUCACAGGGCCUGGGCCUUCACCACAGAUAGAGAGCCCUGGUGGCUGAUUUAUUGGCUAGCCCAGUGUAUGGCCGGCAAGUUUCUCCUCAGACUCAGUUUCCACCCCCUAUCUGGUAAAAUAUAGAGGAUUUUUAUAACUAUGGACACGUCCUCCUCUAGACAAAAUCAUAUGUAGAGAACCAUUGUACAAACUGGAUGGAAGCAGAAAGGGGGCUGUCUGGGGGUGGGUGGGCUCUGGGACUUGAUAUCUCAACUCUGUUAAUCAUUAACCAUCAUCAUCAUCAUCAUCAUCAUCAUCAUCAUCAUCAUCAUCGUCAUUGUGUUUGAGACGUGGUCUCAGCUUAGUCCAGACAGACCUCUCCAUCUGACUACUCUCCUGCCUCGGCCUCCUGAAUGUCGAAGGUCCAGCAUACACCAUCACCUUCCGGGCUCUCGUUCUGUAAGAGAUGAAGAACAACAUGUGGUAAGACACGCCCGCCAUCCGUCACUGGAUAGAAGGAGGCUAGAGGCUCGCAAGGCGAAGGUCAUCUGUGGCUGCAGACCGAAUUCUCUCAGAUGUCCUCAAAGGUCCUCCAGAGAAGGAAGAAGAUAAAGCUGAAACCAGAAGAAAGAGUUGCUAAUAGCCCAUGGAUGGACCAAUCCUUUAACCCCCAAGGCAUUCUGGGAGUGGAGAGCUGGGCAAAAUAAAGCAAAUAAUAAAAUACGGGAGGGCCCCUGGCCCCUGGCGGUGGGGGUGAUGGGAAUUGGAGUCACUCGCCUGUCAGGACCUAUAUCAACAUGUCAGCCGCUUGGACAAACAAGCGUUGCGAGGGGAAAUAUUUCAGAUAAACAGACACGAUGUUAUGACAUAUCACCCUCCCCCCCACCCUCCCCACCCCUGGAAAAGGGAAUCAGUUGGAGACCAAGGAGAAGAAGAGAGGAAGCAACUCCAUGGGGAGAUCUGUUUUCCCUGGCUUGAGGCCUCCUAGGGUCAGCUGUAAAUAAAAUAGGUUUUUG
rnacentral:lncRNA from 1 species